rnacentral:tRNA from 1 species
GGAAGGGUUGCAGAGCGGUCAAAUGCUGCGGACUGUAAAUCCGCCGUCUCGCGACUUCGAUGGUUCGAAUCCGUCCCCUUCCACCA